UAUACCUUACAGUGCCUUACAAUCUUUAACAUAAUAUCUCUUUAAAAAAAAAAAAAAAGUGUAUACUUAUUUUAGACAAAAUUUAAUUGGUGACUUUGUCACAAGAUUGAAAUCUUUCUUUAGAGUAGGGGUAGGGUAAUGUUCCUAAAGCCCCUUUUUGCUAGUAACCACAUAGGUAAAAGGAUAAAUUGACAAUGCAAACAGAUUUUGAGUAACAGUUACUUUUUAAGAAAAAUAAGCACUGUGAAUGCUAAAAAGAUGUUAAGUGGAAUUCUAAACCAAUUCCAUUUAAAAAUGAGAUGAGUUUUACCGUGUUAUUUGUAGAUAUUAAACUUUUUUUCUUUUUAAAA